UUUCGGAAACCCGUUCCUUCUUAAAGUUGCUUCCAAACAAAUCAAACUCUAUGGUUUAUAGUCAUUGCUUCUCAAAACCGCUUCCGUGUAAACCAAACUCUAUGUUAUGUUUCUAGGUGCAUAUGUUAUUAACGUUUCCUCGAUGAAUUGUUAUUUUGUCUUUGUAAGAUUCUCAGAGAACUUAGUAACCUCAUCUCAAUGAACUGGUGAUUUCAAACAUAUGGUUUCAUUUGCUCAAUGGAAAGUUUUUAUUUUCUCCAUUUAACGGUUUUCAUUACUAACUCGAUUAAACAUUGUGUGCUCUUAAGAUGAGAGAGAAGGGAGAGAAAACGGAUCGGUUGAGCAUGUUUAUAAAAACAAGAACAAAGAAAACAAAGAAUGAUGACAUAGACCUUUUCGAUGAGGAAAGUGGCGGCAUUAUUAAUCAAUUUAAUCAAUGCUUGGGAGAAAGGGAAGAGCAUGAGCAAGAUGAGGAUUAUCGAGAGGAGGUGUUUACUAGAGUUAUGGGACCUGAUGCACAUGGACGUGUUCGCAUGUAUGGAACAGGUAUAACUCCAUCUCAUGUGUUUGGUCAAAGUUCACGAUCUUCCAAUGUUAAUGAGGACACCAUACAAGAAGAGGUAGAAAGACAAUAUAAGACUAAGAUAGAUGAUCUUAAGGCUAAGCAUGAAUAUGAAAUUGAAGAUCUCAGAUCCAAGUAUAGUGAAGUCAGUUUGAAACACCAUCACAUGAUGACUCAUAUUGGUUUCCAUGUUAACACAUCACCAAGCAGAAGUGGACAAGUAUAUAAAUUCGAAUGUGAUUUUGUUCUCUUUUCAAUUUAUUAGAAUAAAUUAGUGUGAAAAUUUGAGCAAUUUUGAUUUCUAUUUGUCAUUUUGGUGUUAAAUAUAGGCUCUAAAUACAUCAAGCCAUCUACAAGAAACAUAUGAGAGUAAUGAACAGCAACCUCAGUUAGACCCAGAAGCAUAGAAACAAUUGCUUUCAUAAAAGGUUUGCAUGGAGAUUGUGAUGAAGAGUCUUGAUCAUAAUUAAACUCUUGAACUAUGUUGGAGCAUAUUUGAAAGAAAAAAAAUAUGUUCAUAACUUUUGGGAUGAGAUUAUUUAUAUUUGACUCUAGUAGGAUUGUGUAUUGGGAUAUGUUGAUGAUGUACUUUCAAUGUUAUUCGGAAUUCUAAAAGCACAGUUCUUUGAUUCAUAUAUCAUUUUACUUUUGAACUUAGAAUGAUUGUGAAUAAGAUUAUAAAUUGCAACCCAAUCUUUCACUGAAC